GUCCACGCCCUAAACGAUGGAUACUAGUCGUCGGAAUACCUAAUAGUUUCGGUGACGAAGCUAACGCAUUAAGUAUCCCGCCUGGGGAGUACGAUCGCAAGAUUAAAAACUCAAAAGGAAUUGACGGGGGCCCGCACAAAGCGGUGGAGCAUGUGGUUUAAUUCGAUGCUACGCGAAGAACCUUAACCUGGGCUUGACAUCCCGGGCUAAACCUGCGAAAAGCAGGCGUUCCCUUCGGGGACCCGGUGACAGGUGCUGCAUGGCUGUCGU
rnacentral:rRNA from 1 species